rnacentral:misc_RNA from 1 species
UCUCCGUUGGUGAACCAGCGGAGGGAUCAUUACCGGGUUUACAACUCCCAAACCCCUGUGAACAUACCAUUUGUUGCCUCGGCGGUGCCUGCUUCGGCAGCCCGCCAGAGGACCCAAACCCUUGAUUUUAUACAGUAUCUUCUGAGUAAAUGAUUAAAUAAAUCAAAACUUUCAACAACGGAUCUCUUGGUUCUG